AAUAAGGAUCGGCUAACUCCGUGCCAGCAGCCGCGGUAAUACGGAGGAUCCAAGCGUUAUCCGGAUUCAUUGGGUUUAAAGGGUCCGUAGGCGGGUCUUUAAGUCAGUGGUGAAAGCCGACAGCUCAACUGUCGAACUGCCAUUGAUACUGGAGACCUUGAGUACAAAUGAAGUAGGCGGAAUGAGUCAUGUAGCGGUGAAAUGCAUAGAUAUGACUCAGAACACCGAUUGCGAAGGCAGCUUACUAACAUGUAACUGACGCUGAGGGACGAAAGCGUGGGGAGCGAACAGGAUUAGAUACCCUGGUAGUCCACGCCGUAAACGAUCAUCACUCGCUGUUGGCGAUAUACUGUCAGCGGCCAAGCGAAAGUA
rnacentral:rRNA from 1 species